GUACUCGCUUCGGCAGUACAUACGUUAAAAUUGGAACGAAGCAGAGAAGAUUAGCAUUGCCCCUUGCUCAAGGAUGACACGCAAAAUCGUGAAGAGUUCUAAACUUUU